AUGAGAUUGGUUACUGUCAUCGACCGGAUCAUAUCCCCUGCGCAAACCGCUUUUCAGAGGAAGAAAUGUAUACACGACAGCUACCUGUAUGUUCAGAAUACAGUCCGGGCACUGCAUAGAGCUAGAACGCCAGCCCUCCUCCUCAAACUCGACAUCGCCAAGGCUUUUGACAGUGUAUCAUGGGAGUAUAUGAUUGAGCUUCUCCAGAAACUAGGUUUUUCGCAUCGUUGGAUAGAUUGGGUAGCGCUCCUCCUGUCAACUUCCUCUUCGGCCUGCCUACUAAACGGCGCCCCGAGAAAAAAAAUUCUACACAUGAGAGGGCUUCGGCAGGGUGACCCCCUCUCGCCACUACUCUUCAUUCUCUGCAUCGACUCCCUUCACCGGAUGUUG
rnacentral:rRNA from 1 species